GGGAAUCAGGGAGAGAAGAGAGUUAAAGAAAGAGGGAAGGGGCAGAGAGAACGAGGGGGGUGGCAAACAAUCCCUUUUAUAACAAACCAAUCCUACGUGGCUUUGCCAGGUAACUUCGGGGCAGAGCCUAGAAAGAAAGCCAACAAUUGUGAAAUCCUUUUAAAGUGUGUUUCAGUAGAUCCUUAUCCACAAGACUACCACUGUCAUCGAUAUCAAAUUCUAGAUCAUUUUAUAGUUUCAAAUAGAAACUGCUUGUUCUUGUUAACAGUCAGCUGUAUUCCCCCCCCACCCCCACCCCCUAGCCCCUUGGGAAUCCAAGUUUGUGUGUUUUGUGUAUUUAUAUAAAUAGGAUCAU
rnacentral:lncRNA from 1 species